GUCCUUUAACGUUCUCGUUCAAAUACGAGAUAGAGGACUUUUUAGAGUUUCAAAGUCCUAGUGGCUAGUGCGUUUGAAAUUGCGAUAAAAUCCGAACUCUUGUAUUUGACCUGACUUCUCAAAUGUUGUAAUUUACAUAGUUUCAAAGUUCUAGUACUUUAAACUGUCCUGCAGGAUGUCUUCCUCCCUGAUUAAAGAUUAAUUUCUUUUGUUUUUGAUUCGUGCUUUUUAUUAAUGAGUUAAGAAUAAACAGUUUCACUACAUUUUUAACGGGUUUUGUUUGUUUUAUGAUAUUGACAGGUAGUGAUCCUUCCCACGGCGGUAGCAGCAGCAACAACGAUGGUCUACGUAAGUUUUGAUAUAUAACGUCAUCCUAGAGUUGUAACCAUGCAAUGUACCACUUUCAUAAACAUUAAACAACUUAUUGUUUUAGAGAAGCUUUCGUAAACAAGUUACAAGUCUGACACGAGGAUUUUCAAACAAUAUAAAUGACACAGUUUACAAACAAGCAAUUUUUAUAUUCUUCUCAAAUUUUGGAAAAAUAAUAACCUAUAACAUAAAGACCUUUGUUGCGAGGUUAUUAGCCAAACCAAACGAACUACUGACUACUAACAUGACAAAUCUGUGUCCGAUUUACCGAUAGUAUAUAUAAAGUCAAGAAACAUAUUGAAAUAAUCUUAAAAUAUAUUUUUGAACUUUAUGACAAACUUUAUGUAUUUUGUAUCUUAUAUAAGCACAAUAACACCUUGAAAUAAAAUAGUGGGCUAAAGUAAACCAUUUAGUCCUUGCUAUUAGAGGAUAUCUUUAUUUACUUUGCUCAAUUGCCGAUAUUGUUCAAAAUUUGGACAAACUGUCUACCAAAACCGGCUGGAGUUGGUUCUUAAAAUCUGCCCUUUGAACUAUGUUGUUUUGGACUAAAAUAUUCCCUUUACUGAGAAGCCCAAUUUUAUGUUUUGCAUGUGAUCUAUUCUUAACUUCUUAUUAACCGAACGCGAGGUCUGUUAAGAGAAAUAUUGGACCGAGGUCUUUUUGUACAGACCGAGCCCGUAGGGCGAGGUUAGUACAAAAAGACGGAGGUCCAAUAGCCUAUUUAUUAAUAACAAAUUAAAGUAUAAUUUUCAAAUUUUCGAUUAGUUUUACUGUUUUGUUUCAAAGUGUUUGAACAGAAUGCAUGGACUCAACUGCUGUGCACUUUCAUUCCGAUUUCUUUUGAAGUGUUUCAUAAUAAAUUAGAUCUACCAUUCCUAUAUUCCUUUUGUUGUUAAACAUAUUUUACAAACAGCUUACUGACUAUAUUCUUCCAUUAUGCUUUAGGUUGGAAGAUUGCUAUUGCUGUAUGGCAUUGCUAUUUUGUAUGGCAUAUUUCGUUACUGUAGUCGUAAUUGCUAAAAUGAUGUUCUAAUUGAUUAUAUAUAUAACGUUAUGUGCUUGUAAUAAAUAGAAAAAAUUAGAAUAAAUAGAAACAAAAAGAAAUAAAUGUAUAAUCAUGAGUGACAUUAUGCACCAAUUAGCCUUUCUCAUGCACGACCGAUUUUCCGCUAUUUUUGGAGUACUACCUCUCCCACGUUUAAGACUGUCCGCUCCACGAAAUACGACUUGUUAGUAUUAUAGGUAGUUGUUUGUAUAAAUGGUAAAUUUAUAGUUACGUCUUUUAAAAAUCGCUUUUCACGUUGUUUGCAUUGUCUAGAAUCUUUCACGAGGGCAGACAGUACCCCUAAAAUGUCGGAUUUUGGCCUUCGUGAGGGAGGUUAAAUAGCAGAUGGACCGACGAUAACUUGGAGCUAACAUACA